AGGAGCAAAAUCCUUCUGUUUCCCAGUCAGUGGGCACUUGUGUGCCAUAAAAAUUUCUGUGCUCCAUCUAAAUUUAAUUGUAUUGCUAAAAUACAGCACCUGGCAUUAUCACAUAGAAUCACAGAAUCAGCUGGGUUGGGAAAGACCUUCACGAUAAAGUCCAACCCUUGGUCCACCACCACCACGCUUACUAGACUAUGGCACUGCAUGCCACAUCCAGGCUCAUCUUAAAAACCUCCAGGGACGGUGAAUUCACCACCUCCCCGGGCAGCCCAUUCCAAUGUCUGAUUACUCUCUCUGUAAAAAAUUUCUUCCUAAUAUCCAGCCUAAACCUCCCCUGGCAAAGCUUAAGACCAUGUGUGUGGCUGUCCCACCACUCCAAAGGCAGGAGACACUUCCAGCCCUUUGCCCACCUCCCCAGCACUUUCUUCCUCUCAUAAUUAAUUCCUGCCCUUGCCAGCUCACUGAUGUCCUCACAGAGAACAAUGUCCAAGUUCAUGACCGCCCCGAACCCACGCCGUGUUCCCGUGCUGUGUGGGGCACUUAAUCCACAGGGCAGGGCAGGGUGUUGGCAGCUGAUGCUGUCCCUGGUGCCUUCUCACUCUUAAUAACCCUGCCAAAGGUACGUUUCAUUUGAGUUAGGAGUUUGUGUGUACCAGUCAUGUCAAGUGUAAAAAUAAUCCUUUUCCCGUAACACAACUGCAAAGAUCAUUUCUCAAGCCAGUAAUUUUGACCACACGUCUCUUUACUUUCUUGAUUUGCUUUCAAGGUCAUUCUUUGGCUACCUCACCUAUGAUUCAUUAUGAGAUGACAACUCUCAACAAUUCCUGACACCAACUUACACCACCCGCUUGUUUUGUUUUUGGAUAAAUAGCUCUAUGUUUUCUUUCAUUCUGACUCUCAGGUAUGGGAAAGGAUAUUUUUUGGAGUCUCCAGUAACUCAAUUUGGAAGCUGGCAUGCCGAGUCUUGUGCUUGCUGUAUUGAUUGUUAAUGCCUCAUUAUUUUUUCAUACUUCUCUAUCUGUUCACUGCCUGCUCACCAUGUGUUUAAACUGCACUCUUUUUGUUUUGUGUUUUUACAGCAUCUAACAUGGUGUGUUCCUGUCCGUGAUUAGAGCUCCAAAGUGUUAUGGCAAUACAAUGAAUAAGUUGCAACUGCGGAAAUCAACUGUACAGGGAAAUCAAGUCCCCUCUUCAUGUCUCUUGAUCUUCACCAGACUUGAAGAACCUGUAGUUCUUGGAGCUGGAGUUUCCACAAGCGGCUACAAUGUCUGUAAUAUAAAGCAAUUAAGCGAUUGGUAGUUGUAUUGUUGAGCCAAAUGGAGGGACAAAUAUGUCAUCUGCUGCUGAAGGACUGAGGGACAAGGAGUAGGUUCCUGUAAGUGUCUGUGAAAUUCCACAAAGAGUGAUAUUAUUAACUCAGUAUCAUCUGUCUGGGGGGAUUUCCAGCAGCUAAUGACUUUG